CUUAUCAAUCCAACUCUUGCCAACAAAAGCAAACUCUUGCCUGCUAUAUCGGAAGUUUUCAAUCCAAGCAUUCGUCAUGGCAUGCAAGAUGUCCAUAAUAGUUGUGUUUGUGGUCAUUUUAGUAGCCAUGUCAUGUUACGGUAUUAAAGCCGACACCGCCAAGUGUAAGAUUUACUGGGCAAACCUUCCUGGUCCUUGUGAAGAUGAAAAAUGUACGAACUUUUGCAUACAAAAAAAGUAUCAAGACGGUACAUGUGGUUUUAGUGGUCCUCAACUAGAUAUUACUUGCUUCUGCUACAACUGUGUGGAUAAGACGUCGGUACAACCACAGCUUGGGGAGCCAUAUAGAGCUUGAAUAUGCAAAUAUGAUGGACACUCCACCUGUGAAAGAAUAGUGCUCUUAGUUGGUCGCAUUUA